GUAGUAAUGGUAGUAGUAGUAGUGGUAGUAGUAGUAGUAGUAGUAGUUGUAGUAGUAGUAGUAGUAGUAGUAAUACAUAUAACAUUGAAAUACAUGUAAUACUUAUAUACAUGCAUACAUAUAAUAAAAAGUGUUAUAUUAAGUCAAAACAACGUUGCUAUGAUAAUGAUGAUGGUAAAGCUGAUGAUGAUGAUGAAGUUUUGUACAAUGUUUACGAAUACAAGAAAAAUGAAAAGGAAAAGACAGGAAAAAAAAUAGCGUGUUACUGAAGGUUAUGAUGGGAUCUGAAAAUUCUCUUAAGGGGGUCAUCUCGUCUUGGGUCAAAAUGAUGUGGUUUUGAUGAUAAAGCUGAUGGUGAUGUUGAAGUUUCUUACAAUGUUUACGAAUACAAAGAAAAAUGAAAAGGAAAAGACAGGAUAAAAAAAAUAGCCAGUUUCUUAAGGUUAUGUUGGGAUCUGAAAAUUCUCUUAAGGGGGUUGUCUCGUCUUGGGUCAAAAUGAUGUGGUUUUGAUGAUAAAGCUGAUGGUGAUGUUGAAGUUUCUUACAAUGUUUACGAAUACAAAGAAAAAUGAAAAGGAAAAGACAGGAAAAAAAAAAUAGCGUGUUACUGAAGGUUAUGUUGGGAUCUGAAAAUUCUCUUAAGGGGGUCAUCUCGUCUUGGGUCAAAAUGAUGUUGUUUUGAUGAUAAAGACGAUGAUGGUGAUGUUGAAGUUUCUUACAAUGUUUACAAAUACAAAGAAAAAUGAAAAGAAAAAGACAGGAAAAAAAAUAGCGUGUUACUGAAGGUUAUGAUGAGAUCUGAAAAUUCUCUUAAGGGGGUCGUUUCGUCUUGGGUCAAAAUGGUGUGGUUUUGAUGAUAAAGCUGAUGAUGAUGUUGAAGUUUCUUACAAUGUUUACGAAUACAAAGAAAAAUGAAAAGGGAAAGAGAGGAAAAAAAAUAGCGUGUUACUGAAGGUUAUGAUCGGAUCUGAAAAUUCUCUUAAGGGGGUCAAAAGGAUGUUGCUAUGAUGUUAAAAACGACGCUGAUGAUUAUAAUGACAGUGUUUAGCGGAUAUGUGUCACCCAGUAGAUUCUGGCUUAACUUAGAACUUUACGAAGAAAGGAGAGUGAAAAUAAAGGAGGAAAAUAAUAGUAGAGGGAGGCAAUGUUAUGAGAUCUGAAAAUUCUGUUAAGGGGGUAUUUUUGUUUUGGGUUAAAAUGAUGUUGGUAUGAUGAUAAAGAUGAAAGAAAAGUGAGGAUAGGAAGAGGAGAAAGAGGAUUAGGAGAAAGCAGAAAAGGGAGGAAGAAAGAAAGAAGGAAGGAAAAAGAAAAGAAAGAAAAGAAAGAACUGAAUUGGACAUUACGAAUAGAAAUUAAGAAAGAAAAAGAAAGAAACGAAAAUAAGAAAAAGAUAUUAGGCGAUACGAUUAGGACUUAAGAAAGAAAGAGAGAAAGAAACAAAGAAAAAGAAAGAAGGGAAUUGGACGUAACGAACAGGAAUUAAGAAAGAAAAGAAAGAA